UCAAGCUGGACGAAUGUUAGACGGAGAUCUAAAGUCCGGCAAAACCUAAUUAUCAAACCCGCAGAAAAAAUCAGCCUAUCAACAAUUGUUUUUUUUUUGGCUUUCUCAAAUCCCUAAUUUUAUUUUCUCCUCCUCAAAACCAAAUUACCUAGAUUUUCCUCCUGAAAUCGAAUAAGAUUCGAAGCUAAAUCGGUGGUUUCUUGAUCUUUUACCACAGAAAUGAGAUAAUGGUGAUUCGCGAUUCUUAAACGGGUUUAGUACAGUCUUCCCAGGUCCUCCAAUGGUGGUGAAUGGAUGGGGGAACUGGAAAGAGUACAUUUGCUCAAACACAACAUUAUCUCCUGGUCGAUGAAGAUAAAGCACAUAACAUAUACUACAGGUACUUGCUCGAUAUCGUAACAAAUUAAAGAUGAUUGUUUGGAUUGGUUCUUGACUGUAAUUUAUGGUCUGAGUUACUUGAUGAAGGCAUGAGUGAAGGAAAUUUUUGGGUCAGUGGAAACCAAGUAAAAGUUCUAUAGCAUUUAAGAAUUUGGAGUUAGCUGACCACCAGGGAACUCUCUCUCAGCUGAUGAAACAGUGGAGAAGGCAUUAUAAAAGCUGAGCUGGGGAACCUAAUAUUGCUAAGGGAAAAGGAGCUUAGGCAGAGGUUGCGGCAGAUUGUGCUAUAAAAAUAGGCGACAAAAACCUAAAGUACUUUAAUUUCAUUGGUGCACAAGCUUCAGAAAUGCUCAAAUCAAGUUCUUUGUUUGAAGGACGGUGAUGGUCAUACAUUGAGAUUUGAGCGGAAGGGAAGACUUGAAAUAAAAAAUUCUUACCUUCUGGUGCAAUUUAUAUAAAGAAGAACCUUGUGAGAUAGUAAAGCUUUCCGUGGGAAAGCUUGGACAAAGUUUGUUGGAGUUAUCCAGAUUCUAUUCUUUCUUCAAUGGGUUUUGCCGUUUUUUGCCGUUUUAAUGUAAAUCAGAGGGCAUGGAUUCGUCAAGGCAUUGGCUUAAUGCUUCCAAGACUAGGCUGGUGGCGGUAGGAGAUGUACCAGACCUGCAUAUCUGGGGAAAGAGGCUUCAUUCUGCAGUGGAUUAGUUUCUUAUUUUCUAUCUCAGUCUUUCUCUAGGGACCUGACGAUGGUUUAAAAGAAUUUGGGAUCCAGUUAUGCCUCGGGGGUGCCUCUUCGAUUCUGCAUUUUUGUCAGGUUUGAGAAAGGAUUUAUCUCUUUGGAAACAAUAAUGGAUAUCUAAAGCUGGGAAAUUGGUUCUUAUAAAAUCAUUAUUGGCGGGCCUUCCUAAUCAUUUCCUUUCUCUUAUG